UGACCAGUUGCCGCAAUGACUAGAAUUCGAUGUAAACCUACAAAAAAAAACAUUAAGCAAACACUAGAUAAACACUUUGUUAUUUUAUACAAGCUGGUGUCAGCCGAUAUGGACAAUUGAUUUUUCUCGAUGCGAAAACUUGAGUCGCCGUGUCACAUCCAGCUUGUGUCUACUUGUAUAUGCGACAUCAAGCUCCACAUCUGUUUCACCGGAACACCCAGCAAGACUGUGGUACUGUUUGACGUGGUCGCAGUUCAAAAGGGAGAACGAGUGGACCCCGAGAACGGUUACACGCAUUCAAGACAUCGUUAGCCACAGAAUCAUCCAUGCGCACGACACUUUCCAGACUGUGGUACUGUUUGACGUGGUCGCAGUUCAAAAGGGAGAACGAGUGGACCCCGAGAACGGUUACACGCAUUCAAGACAUCGUUAGCCACAGAAUCAUCCAUGCGCACGACACUUUCCAGACUGUGGUACUGUUUGACGUGGUCGCAGUUCAAAAGGGAGAACGAGUGAACCCCGAGAACGGUUACACGCAUUCAAGACAUCGUUAGCCACAGAAUCAUCCAAGUGCACGACACUUUCCAGGUCAGGGUCUGAAUUCAAUGGAAUAGAAUCUUGAACUUGUUUCUCUACACAGGGCACAUGACUGCAGAGACUUUAUAGUUUGGAAAUACUCCUUUUUUUUUAAAGUGAACCUUUGUUUUUCAUAGCGCGAUUGUUUUUAUAACUGUGCUGUCAUUUCAUAUGGAGUGAUCUCAUUUUGAAUGGUAUUUUAAUGAAUGAAUAUCAAUAUUUGGUGCAUGUAUAAUGUUAUCAUAUGGGAAUAUACAUCUGUAAGACUGAUUGAUAUUGUCAAUAAUCAUUUCAAACAUUUGACAUAUAACUUGUGCUUCUCUACCAAAUAGAGUCCAAUAUUGUGAAUAGGAACACUAUUUUUUUUAUUAUUUCUGUUCUGGUUGUUCCCCUUGAAUUGUUUGAA